rnacentral:lncRNA from 1 species
UUUCUUUUAUAUUAUAAUUAAACGAGGAGGGUCACUUAUUUUUCUUUAACAAACAAUACACAAACAAAACAAAUACAAUACACACAUAUACACACACAAAAUCUACCUUCCCUCUCUCUCUCUCUCUCUCUAAUCUCAUUCUGUACUCUCUUUCUAGCCAUACCACCACUACUCACCUCCAGCCGCCCUCCUUCCACUUCCUCUUCCUCUUUAUCCUUUUCUUCGUCGUGCCUCACCGGAGUUGAUCACCGAUCGGCAAUGUUCCAGCUCCA